UAGCAAAUACAUUGCGGGAUGAAGUCUCCUGCACACAGCACAUAGCAAGUCUUUUUGGUAACAAGGAUAAGUAGUAUUGCAAACUUCAAUGCCGGAGAAAUUCCUGCAUCCUAAAACUUAUCCUUCCGCAUCUCAGGAUACAGGUUGCCGUUUAUAAGGAAACUGAGAUACACACCAUUAAAGCCCGGAACAUUGACGUAGAGCAUCAUGACUAGCAUGAAAACAACAAGAAGUCCAAACAAAGAUCCCGAGAUGGAUGGAAGGGGUCCCCAUGGUCACAUUCCAUACAGUAUACUCAGUGUAAUACUAACCAGUAUCAACCAAGCAUUGAGAUUGACACAGGUUGGAGCCAUCAAAUGCAAAAGAACUCAACUUUUCAUAGCACGACUGUGCUAAUUCAGGACGCUUAUUAACAAUACAUACAAUUCCAAAGAGAUCACGACCAGAAACUAAGUGAAGCACAUCUGGGG